rnacentral:rRNA from 1 species
UACGUAGGGACCAAGCGUUGUUCGGAUUUACUGGGCGUAAAGGGCGCGUAGGCGGCGCGGUAAGUCACUUGUGAAAUCUCUGAGCUUAACUCAGAACGGCCAAGUGAUACUGCAGUGCUAGAGUGUGGAAGGGGCAAUCGGAAUUCUUGGUGUAGCGGUGAAAUGCGUAGAUAUCAAGAGGAACACCUGAGGUGAAGACGGGUUGCUUGGCCAACACUGACGCUGAGGCGCGAAAGCCAGGGGAGCAAACGGG